rnacentral:rRNA from 1 species
CCUACGGGAGGCUGCAGUGGGGAAUAUUGGACAAUGGGCGAAAGCCUGAUCCAGCCAUGCCGCGUGUGUGAAGAAGGCCUUCGGGUUGUAAAGCACUUUCAGUGGGGAAGAAAGCCUUGGGGCUAAUACCCUCGAGGAAGGACAUCACCCACAGAAGAAGCACCGGCUAACUCCGUGCCAGCAGCCGCGGUAAUACGGAGGGUGCGAGCGUUAAUCGGAAUUACUGGGCGUAAAGCGCGCGUAGGCGGUCUGAUAAGCCGGUUGUGAAAGCCCCGGGCUCAACCUGGGAACCGCAUCCGGAACUGUCAGGCUAGAGUGCAGGAGAGGAAGGUAGAAUUCCCGGUGUAGCGGUGAAAUGCGUAGAGAUCGGGAGGAAUACCAGUGGCGAAGGCGGCCUUCUGGACUGACACUGACGCUGAGGUGCGAAAGCGUGGGUAGCAAACAGGAUUAGAUACCCCGGUAGUC